GACGAACGCUGGCGGCGUGGAUUAGGCAUGCAAGUCGGACGGUAGGGCUUUAUCGUAAGAUAGAGUUUGAGAGUGGCGAACGGGUGAGUAACACGUAGGAAUCUACCCUUAAGACGGGGACAACCCAGGGAAACUUGGGCUAAUACCGGAUGAGGGUGCGAGAGAUUGCAUUUAAAAGGAUGGCGAAAGUUGUCGCUUAGGGAUGAGCCUGCGGUCUAUUAGUUAGUUGGUGAGGUAAGAGCUCACCAAGGCGAUGAUAGAUAGGCGGCCUUAACGGGUGGUCGCCCACACCGGGAUUGAGAUACGGCCCAGACUCCUACGGGAGGCAGCAGUCGAGAAUAGUCUACAAUGGCCGGAAGGCUGAUAGUGCGACGCCGCGUGAACGAGGGAGCCCUUCGGGUGUAAAGUUCUUUCUUAUACGAGCAGUGCUAUAUAUAUGGAUAGUAUAUAUAGAGGGAUAGUAGUAUAGGAAUAAGCAACGGCUAACUCCGUGCCAGCAGCCGCGGU
rnacentral:rRNA from 1 species